AUUGAACGCUGGCGGCAGGCCUAACACAUGCAAGUCGAACGAGUGGCGGACGGGUGAGUAAUGUCUGGGAAACUGCCUGAUGGGGGGGGAUAACUAAUGGAAACGGUAGCUAAUACCGCAUACCAUCAGAUGUGCCCAGAUGGGAUUCUGUUGUUGGUGGGGUAAAGGCGCACCAAGGCGACGACCCCUAGCUGGUCUGAGAGGAUGACCAGCCACACUGGAACUGAGACACGGUCCAGACUCCUACGGGAGGAAGCAGUGGGGAAUAUUGCACAAGUGGCGCAAGCCGGAUGCAGCUAUGCCGCGUGUAUGAAGAAGGCCUUCGGGUUGUAAAGUACUUUCAGCGGGGAGGCGUUACCCGCAGAAGAAGCACCGGCUAACUCCGUGCCAGCAGCCGCGGUAAUAC
rnacentral:rRNA from 1 species